rnacentral:rRNA from 1 species
AGUGAACGCUGGCGGUAGGCCUAACACAUGCAAGUCGAACGGCAGCACAGUAAGAGCUUGCUCUUACGGGUGGCGAGUGGCGGACGGGUGAGGAAUACAUCGGAAUCUACUUUUUCGUGGGGGAUAACGUAGGGAAACUUACGCUAAUACCGCAUACGACCUACGGGUGAAAGCAGGGGAUCUUCGGACCUUGCGCGAUUGAAUGAGCCGAUGUCGGAUUAGCUAGUUGGCGGGGUAAAGGCCCACCAAGGCGACGAUCCGUAGCUGGUCUGAGAGGAUGAUCGGCAACACUGGAACGAAGACACGGCCCAGACUCCUACGGGAGGCAGCAGUGGGGAAUAUUGGACAAUGGGCGCAAGCCUGAUCCAGCCAUACGGCGUGGGUGAAGAAGGCCUUCGGGUGGUAAAGCCCUUUUGUGGGGAAAGAAAAGCAGCAGGUUAAUACCCCGCUGUUCUGACGGUACCCAAAGAAUAAGCACCGGCUAACUUCGU